UACAGAGGUCCCAAGCGUUGUUCGGAUUCACUGGGCGUAAAGGGUGCGUAGGCGGUCGGGUAAGUCUGAUGUGAAAUCUCCGGGCUCAACCCGGAAAUGGCAUUGGAUACUAUUCGGCUCGAGGUCUGGAGGGGGGACUGGAAUACUUGGUGUAGCAGUGAAAUGCGUAGAUAUCAAGUGGAACACCAGUGGCGAAGGCGAGUCCCUGGACAGAUCCUGACGCUGAGGUACGAAAGCUAGGGGAGCAAACAGG
rnacentral:rRNA from 1 species